GAUGAAGAACGCAGCGAAAUGCGAUAAGUAAUGUGAAUUGCAGAAUUCAGUGAAUCAUCGAAUCUUUGAACGCACAUUGCGCCCCUUGGUAUUCCGAGGGGCAUGCCUGUUCGAGCGUCAUAUUAACCACUCCCGCUUGCGGGGUCUUGGGCUUCGCCUCCGGGCGGGCCUUAAAAUCAGUGGCGGUGCCGUCGGGCUCUACGCGUAGUAAAUUUUCUCGCGAUAGGGUCCCGGUGGAUGCUUGCCAACAACCCCCAACUUCUUAAGGUUGACCUCGGAUCAGGUAGGGAUACCCGCUGAACUUAAGCAUAUCAAUAAGCGGAGCA
rnacentral:misc_RNA from 1 species